AGAACGAACGCUGGCGGCGUGGAUAAGACAUGCAAGUCGAACGCGACUUACAGUGAUAGCAAUAUUAUUGUAAGUUGAGUGGCGAAAGGGUGCGUAACACGUGGGAAUUUACCAAGAAGUGGGGAAUAGCUCGACGAAAGUCGAAUUAAUACCGCAUGUGAUCGAAAGAUCAAAGCCGGGGACCGCAAGGCCUGGCGCUUUUUGAGAAGCCCGCGGCCCAUCAGCUAGUUGGCGGGGUAACGGCCCACCAAGGCUAUGACGGGUAGCUGGUCUGAGAGGACGACCAGCCACACUGGAACUGAGACACGGUCCAGACACCUACGGGUGGCAGCAGUCGAGAAUUUUUCACAAUGGACGAAAGUCUGAUGGAGCGACGCCGCGUGGAGGAUGAAGGUUUUCGGAUUGUAAACUCCUGUCACUGCAGAACAAGGAUGUGCGCAUGAAUAGUGCGUGCAUUUGAUGGUAUGCGGAGGAGGAGGGACGG
rnacentral:rRNA from 1 species